rnacentral:rRNA from 1 species
AUUGAACGCUGGCGGCAUGCUUUACACAUGCAAGUCGAACGGCAGCACGGGUGCUUGCACCUGGUGGCGAGUGGCGGACGGGUGAGUAAUACAUCGGAACGUGUCCAGAAGAGGGGGAUAACGCAUCGAAAGAUGUGCUAAUACCGCAUAUACUCUAAGGAGGAAGCAGGGGAUCGAAAGACCUUGCGCUUUGGGAGCGGCCGAUGUCUGAUUAGCUAGUUGGUGGGGUAAAGGCCUACCAAGGCGACGAUCAGUAGUUGGUCUGAGAGGACGACCAGCCACACUGGGACUGAGACACGGCCCAGACUCCUACGGGAGGCAGCAGUGGGGAAUUUUGGACAAUGGGCGCAAGCCUGAUCCAGCAAUGCCGCGUGAGUGAAGAAGGCCCUGGUUGUAAAGACUCUUUCAGUCGAGAAGAAAAAGACUGCAGUGAAUAACUAGUAGUUCAUGACGGUAUCGACAGAAGAAGCACCGG